rnacentral:rRNA from 1 species
CUAAUACAUGCAAGUUGAACGCUUCUUUCUUAUCGAACUUCGGUUCACCAAGAAAGAAGAGUAGCGAACGGGUGAGUAACACGUGGGUAACCUGCCCAUCAGCGGGGGAUAACACUUGGAAACAGGUGCUAAUACCGCAUAAUACUUUUUCUCUCAUGAGUGAAAGUUGAAAGGCGCUUUUGCGUCACUGAUGGAUGGACCCGCGGUGCAUUAGCUAGUUGGUAGGGUAACGGCCUACCAAGGCAACGAUGCAUAGCCGACCUGAGAGGGUGAUCGGCCACACUGGGACUGAGACACGGCCCAGACUCCUACGGGAGGCAGCAGUAGGGAAUCUUCGGCAAUGGACGAAAGUCUGACCGAGCAACGCCGCGUGAGUGAAGAAGGUUUUCGGAUCGUAAAACUCUGUUGUUAGAGAAGAACAAGGAUGAGAAGAGAAUGUUCAUCCCUUGACGGUAUCUAACCAGAAAGCCACGGCUAACUACGUGCCAGCAGCCGCGGUAAUACGUAGGUGGCAAGCGUUGUCCGGAUUUAUUGGGCGUAAAGCGAGCGCAGGCGGUUCUUUAAGUCUGAUGUGAAAGCCCCCGGCUCAACCGGGGAGGGUCAUUGGAAACUGGGGAACUUGAGUGCAGAAGAGGAGAGUGGAAUUCCAUGUGUAGCGGUGAAAUGCGUAGAUAUAUGG